GUACAAUGUUGAAAAAAAACACAACUGGUCACCCUACAGUCAGUCCCACGACAUCAGAUGAUGAUGACGCUGCGGCAGCAGGUCCCUCAAUACAAGGCUUGACCAGUAGAAGACAGCCUCCUGAACCCCUCAAAAAGCGGACACGUGGCACCUAAGAAACCAAGGUUGGAUGUCCUGUCGAAACCACAGCAGUCUAUACUGCCACGAAGAAUGUCAGUAGUAUCUUCCGUACCACCACGCCAAAUUUUGGGCACUCCACCAAGACACCAACCACACUCCCCUCAUCUGGAUGAAACAACUAACACUACCAGCAUCCCUCCGACACACCAGCAAGACAGUGACAUGGAUGAGACAAUCAUUUUACAACUUCAGCCAAUAAUUGAAGCAAACACAGCCCCAGCACCUGUGAGUACACCACCACCGCUAAACACACCACCACCACAACACAGCCCAACAACACCAGUAGCACAAGGACCUGAUCAAGUGUUUUGGGACAAUUGGGCUACACAGCAGGCCACUAAUCAGGAUUGCCUGCGUAGACAGACACAAAUUUUCUCAAGCCUGCCUAAUCACCUCAAAAGAAUAAGCCGCAAUAUCAGCCGACAAACGAACCAACCCCGCGAAUGGCAAACACCAUGGAAAUAAUGCGGGCAGACAUGACACAUGUAAUGGGUAACUUACAAUGCCUAAUGGAUAAACAUCACAGACAACAGCAAAGCUACCUAAACAUUUUAGAAACAAAUCAAAUGCUCAUUGAAUCUAUAUCCAGCAUCAUGGAAAAUCACACUGCAGCAACACGUGAACUCAAUGCCACCCUCACUAACCUCAAUGAUACUUGCCUACCUG